AAAUAGUUUCCAUAAGAUUCCAAAAAACAAGAAAGCAUAUUGUAUCGAUGGGUUUGCCUCUUCUCUCUCGGUUCUCUCGCAGCUUCACUUUUCUCCAUCACUUUUCUUUCUCUUAUUUCUCUCUCAGCUCUAAUCCUAAAAUUCGCAUCUCCCUCAUGAAACACCAGAUGUAUGGAUUCGAUCGUUGUUAUGCUACUUAGAUCUUCAGUUACAUUACUGGGAUACAUGUCAUUAAAAUCACUAGUGGAAGCUCUGCCGUUGAAGAAGUUUUAGGUUGUAUCCACUUCAUACAUCUUUUCAUACUCUUGUUACGUUUUUUUGGUGUACAUAUCUGAUGUUAGGCUUGUGAGCUCACAGUAAAUGGGUACAUAGAUGCUAAUAAUAUUUAUAUUAGAUGAUUGUUGUUAUAGGUGAUUCAGCUGGAGGCCAACUCUCAAAUCUAAAGAAAUCUGCAGGAGGGCAUGUACUAGCUCAUGCAACAACUAUUAGGUUUAUGUUUAGAAAGGCAAAUGAGACCAAAAUAUCUGCAAGGUCGAAAGGGAGAAACACUACCAAGGUUACAACUUGGGGUUAGGAAGGCUCUGUAUUGUAAGUGAAAACAGAAGGCAAUCGUUUAUGGAAUGCCAUGAUGAUUUUAGUGGCCUGACCUAUGCAGCAAAGAAUGACGAUGUUGUGUUGUUACUGAUUGAUGCAAGUUAUGGGUCUAGAGUAUCAGUUAGGAAGAUCGUUAACCUGGAUCAGGCAGAGGAUUGAAUGUCAAAGCCAUAGACUCAUAGUUGAGGAUCCUGUAACUAUUUGUGCAUUGCUUGGGGUACACUAUUCCGAUCAGUUGGGCAGCUCAGUUCAUUUUUGCUGGUUUUAGUUUAUUUCAUUGUUUGUAGGUUGAUUUCCGCCCAUUGUAAGAAAAUACAUCUUAAAGUACUUAAAAUAGUGUGAAUUCAGUAGUUGUGUAGAGCUUUUUGGGGUUUUGACCAAAGUGUCAGCUCGAUUCACAUGUGUAUUCAGUCAAUUAUUGUACAACAAAUUUCAAAUUUGAAUUGAAUGGUGAAUGUUUUGAUCAGUGUA